UUAACAAAAACAUGUCCUUUUGAUUUAAAUUUAAGGUCUGAUCUGCCCAAUGAUUUAUUAAAUGGCCGCGAUAUCCUGAUCGUGCGAAGGUAGCAUAAUCAUUAGUUUCUUAAUUAGGAGCUGGUAUGAAUGAUUGGACGAGGAACUAUCUGUCUCAAAUUUAUUUUUUGAAUUUUAUUUCUUAGUUAAAAAGCUUAGAUUUCUUUGAAAGACGAGAAGACCCUAUAGAGUUUUAUAUUUAUUUAGUUAUAAAAAUUAUAGAAUCUUGAAUUUUUUUAUUUUAAAUCAUAUUUAGUUGGGGUGACUGAAAAAUUUGUUUAACUUUUUCUUUUAUUAAUAUAGAUUUAUAGAUUUUUGACUUAUCAUUAUAGUUAUAAGAUUAAAUUACCUUAGGGAUAACAGCGUAAUUUUUUUAAAGAGUUCUUAUCGAAAAAAAAGAUUGCGACCUCGAUGUUGGAUUAAAGUUAAAUUUUGGUGUAGAAGCUAAGCUUUUUAGUCUGUUCGACUAUUAAAACUUUACAUGAUCUGAGUUUAAACCGGCGUGAGCCAGGUUGGUUUCUAUCUUCAUUUUUAUUAAAUAUUUUAGUACGAAAGGACCAAAUAUUUUUUAUAUUAAAUCAUUUUUUGAAUAAAAUU
rnacentral:rRNA from 1 species